rnacentral:rRNA from 1 species
CGGGAAUUUUGGGCAAUGGGCGAAAGCCUGACCCAGCAACGCCGCGUGAGGGAUGAAGUAUUUCGGUAUGUAAACCUCGAAAGAAUGGGAAGAAUAAAUGACGGUACCAUUUAUAAGCUCCGGCUAACUACGUGCCAGCAGCCGCGGUAAUACGUAGGGAGCAAGCGUUGUUCGGGUUUACUGGGCGUAAAGGGCGCGUAGGCGGCGCGGUAAGUCACUUGUGAAAUCUCUGAGCUUAACUCAGAACGGCCAAGUGAUACUGCUGUGCUAGAGUGCGGAAGAGGCAACCGGAAUUCUUGGUGUAGCGGUGAAAUGCGUAGAUAUCAAGAGGAACACCUGAGGCGAAGGCGGGUUGCUGGGCCGACACUGACGCUGAUGCGCGAAAGCCAGGGGAGCAAACG